rnacentral:rRNA from 1 species
AACGAACGCUGGCGGCAUGCCUAACACAUGCAAGUCGAACGAGACCUUCGGGUCUAGUGGCGCACGGGUGCGUAACGCGUGGGAACCUGCCCUUAGGUUCGGAAUAACUCCCCGAAAGGGGUGCUAAUACCGGAUAAUGUCUUCGGACCAAAGAUUUAUCGCCUUUGGAUGGGCCCGCGUUGGAUUAGCUAGUUGGUAGGGUAAAAGCCUACCAAGGCGACGAUACAUAGCUGGUCUGAGAGGAGGAUCAGCCACACUGGGACUGAGACACGGCCCAGACUACUACGGGAGGGAGCAAUGGGGAAUAUUGGAAAAUGGGCGAAAGCCUGAUCCAGCAAUGCCGCGUGAGUGAUGAAGGCCUUAGGGAUGUAAAGCUCUUUUACCCGGGAUGAUAAUGACAGUACCGGGAGAAUAAGCACCGGCUAACUCCGUG